UACCCCAGGUCAGGCGGGGCUACCCGCUGAGUUUAAGCAUAUCAAUAAGCGGAG
rnacentral:rRNA from 1 species